rnacentral:misc_RNA from 1 species
GAUGAAGAACGCAGCGAAAUGCGAUAAGUAAUGCGAAUUGCAGAAUUCAGUGAGUCAUCGAAUCUUUGAACGCACAUUGCGCCCUGUGGUAUUCCGCAGGGCAUGCCUGUUCGAGCGUCAUUUCAACCCUCAAGCCCCGCUUGGUGUUGGGCCCCGCCCGCUGUGGCUGGCCCUAAAGACAGUGGCGGCGCCGCCUGGCCCUCAGCGUAGUACAUCUCUCGCUCCAGGGUCCGGUGGCCGCCUGCCAGAACCCCCCAACUCUGUGGUUGACCUCGGAUCAGGUAGGGAUACCCGCUGAACUUAAGCAUAUCAAUAAGCCGGAGA